rnacentral:rRNA from 1 species
ACCUCGGAUCAGGUAGGAAUACCCGCUGAACUUAAGCAUAUCAAUAAGCGGAGGAAAAGAAACCAACAGGGAUUGCCCUAGUAACGGCGAGUGAAGCGGCAACAGCUCAAAUUUGAAAUCUGGCCUUCGGGUCCGAGUUGUAAUUUGUAGAGGAUGCUUUUGGUGAGGUACCUUCCGAGUUCCCUGGAACGGGACGCCAUAGAGGGUGAGAGCCCCGUCUGGUUGGAUACCGAUCCUCUGUAAAGCUCCUUCGACGAGUCGAGUAGUUUGGGAAUGCUGCUCUAAAUGGGAGGUAUAUGUCUUCUAAAGCUAAAUAUUGGCCAGAGACCGAUAGCGCACAAGUAGAGUGAUCGAAAGAUGAAAAGCACUUUGAAAAGAGAGUUAAAAAGUACGUGAAAUUGUUGAAAGGGAAGCGCUCAUGACCAGACUUGGGCUUGGUUGAUCAUCCAGGGUUCUCCCUGGUGCACUCUUCCAGCCCAGGCCAGCAUCAGUUCGCUGUGGGGGAUAAAGGCUUCGGGAAUGUGGCUCCUCCGGGAGUGUUAUAGCCCG